GACAGUGUCAAAGGAUAAACAGAAGAGCAAAGAUUACGUAAAAACUCCUUCUCCACGUGACUCGGCCUGGAGCCUUCCUCCAGCGAUGGACAACGCAUGCCCUUCUUGCAGCCAGAGACAGUCCCAAAAGACCAAGAGUCCGAAGGCCUAUCCACAGAACUGUGAUGACAAUCAUGGCCAUCAGCCCUGGAGGAAGCGUCACAGCAAACACCAGCUUAAAAAGAGACGCUCAAGAAGCAGAGAUGCUGGCAAACGUCGGAGCAAAAGAUGCAGGUGGUCAAGGCCUCGUGACUCGAGCCCCUGCCUAAAAAGCCAGAGAAGGUCCAGUAGUCGUGAGAGCACUACCUCCACAGAUUCCAGCAGAUCACGGUCACGUCACAAAGGCCGUGGCCAGUGGAGGUCAAGGAGUAGAGACAGUGAUCGUCAUUACAGAAGAGGCUGUCACCCUUCUCACAGUCAAAAGACAGCCAGAGACAGCUCCUCCGGCACGGACAGUCCUCAUUCUAAAGCUCACUGCUCAAGGAAGUCUCCUGAUCCAGAAUUCAGGACCCAGCCCUUCACCGGCAGGCAAGAACUACAUAGCCAGAUGGGACUCCACGAGCAACAGGACUGCUGUUAUGAACAAUGCAGAUCAAGCAGUCAAUCAAGCUCCAGAUCAAGGACCCCUUCUGCAGAAACAGACAGAACAAGAAGCAAAAAGCCAGGUGGGAAGAGGAAGUGCAAAACACGACACUUGGAGAACGCAGAGAAGGGGAGCACCAGCAUGGAGGGAGAAAAUGGCCUCAAGAGACCUGCCUCAACAUUCCGUGACUGCUACGAAAAUGAAAGCAGCCUUUCAGACGAUCAACCAAGCAGUGAGACAGAACCGAAGAACAAGAAGAAAAGGAUGACAAGUCCAAGCCUGGAGAGAGACUGUGAGGGAAGAGAGGCAGACCCAGCGGUGCUUUCUAAAAAGAAUAAGAAACACCGGAAACGUCGCCAGAAAUCUGAUUAGUUCUUAGAAAAUGAGUCAUUCUAAAUGGUACCAUUGUAUUAAUGCCUGUGAUGUAAGUUGAUCUCUGUUGAAAAGUAGAAACUUCUUACUACAUACAUAGUAAACAGCACUUCCAGCAAUGUAAAUUAUGCUGAGAUCUUAAUAAGGCAUUGA
rnacentral:lncRNA from 1 species